GACGAACCGAGCGAACGUUGUUCGGAAUCACUGGACUUAAAGGGCGCGUAGGCGGGCUGCCGCGUCCGGGGUGAAAUCCCACGGCUCAACCGUGGAACGGCCUCGGAUACGGGCGGCCUCGAGGGGGGUAGGGGCAUCUGGAACUGUGAGUGGAGCGGUGAAAUGCGUUGAUAUUCACAGGAACUCCGGUGGCGAAGGCGAGGUGCUGGACCCCAUCUGACGCUGAGGCGCGAAAGCCAGGGGAGCAAACGGG
rnacentral:rRNA from 1 species